rnacentral:rRNA from 1 species
UAAUACGAAGGGUGCAAGCGUUACUCGGAAUUACUGGGCGUAAAGCGUGCGUAGGUGGUUCGUUAAGUCUGAUGUGAAAGCCCUGGGCUCAACCUGGGAACUGCAUUGGAUACUGGCGAUCUGGAGUGCGGUAGAGGGUGGCGGAAUUCCCGGUGUAGCAGUGGAAUGCGUAGAUAUCGGGAGGAACAUCCGUGGCGAAGGCGGCCACCUGGACCAGCACUGACACUGAGGCACGAAAGCGUGGGGAGCAAACAG